UGCGAAUCUCGAAAGCCUGUCUCAGUUCGGAUUGGAGGCUGAAACCCGCCUCCAUGAAGUUGGAUUCGCUAGUAAUCGCGCAUCAGCCAUGGCGCGGUGAAUACGUUCCCGGGCCUUGUACACACCGCCCGUCAAGCCAUGGAAGCUGGGGGUGCCUGAAGUUCGUGACCGGAAGGAGCGACCUAGGGCAAAACCGGUGACUGGGGCUAAGUCGUAACAAGGUAAC
rnacentral:rRNA from 1 species